AUGAACGCUAGCUACAGGCUUAACACAUGCAAGUCGAGGGGCAGCAUGAACUUAGCUUGCUAAGUUUGAUGGCGACCGGCGCACGGGUGAGUAACACGUAUCCAACCUGCCGAUGACUCGGGGAUAGCCUUUCGAAAGAAAGAUUAAUACCCGAUGGCAUAGUUCUUCCGCAUGGUAGAACUAUUAAAGAAUUUCGGUCAUCGAUGGGGAUGCGUUCCAUUAGGUUGUUGGCGGGGUAACGGCCCACCAAGCCUUCGAUGGAUAGGGGUUCUGAGAGGAAGGUCCCCCACAUUGGAACUGAGACACGGUCCAAACUCCUACGGGAGGCAGCAGUGAGGAAUAUUGGUCAAUGGACGAGAGUCUGAACCAGCCAAGUAGCGUGAAGGAUGACUGCCCUAUGGGUUGUAAACUUCUUUUAUACGGGAAUAAAGUGAGGCACGCGUGCCUUUUUGUAUGUACCGUAUGAAUAAGGAUCGGCUAACUCCGUGCCAGCAGCCGCGGUAAUACGGAGGAUCCGAGCGUUAUCCGGAUUUAUUGGGUUUAAAGGGAGCGUAGGCGGACGCUUAAGUCAGUUGUGAAAGUUUGCGGCUCAACCGUAAAAUUGCAGUUGAUACUGGGUGUCUUGAGUACAGUAGAGGCAGGCGGAAUUCGUGGUGUAGCGGUGAAAUGCUUAGAUAUCACGAAGAACUCCGAUUGCGAAGGCAGCCUGCUGGACUGUAACUGACGCUGAUGCUCGAAAGUGUGGGUAUCAAACAGGAUUAGAUACCCUGGUAGUCCACACAGUAAACGAUGAAUACUCGCUGUUUGCGAUAUACAGUAAGCGGCCAAGCGAAAGCGUUAAGUAUUCCACCUGGGGAGUACGCCGGCAACGGUGAAACUCAAAGGAAUUGACGGGGGCCCGCACAAGCGGAGGAACAUGUGGUUUAAUUCGAAGCAACGCGAAGAACCUUACCAGGUCUUGACAUCCCUCUGACCGGAACUUAAUCGUUCCUUUCCUUCGGGACAGAGGAGACAGGUGGUGCAUGGUUGUCGUCAGCUCGUGUCGUGAGAUGUUGGGUUAAGUCCCGCAACGAGCGCAACCCUUGUGAUAUGUUACUAACAUUGAGUUGAGGACUCAUAUCAGACUGCCGGUGAUAAACCGGAGGAAGGUGGGGAUGACGUCAAAUCAGCACGGCCCUUACGUCCGGGGCUACACACGUGUUACAAUGGGGGGUACAGAAGGCAGCUACACGGCGACGUGAUGCUAAUCCCUAAAGCCUCUCUCAGUUCGGAUUGGAGUCUGCAACCCGACUCCAUGAAGCUGGAUUCGCUAGUAAUCGCGCAUCAGCCACGGCGCGGUGAAUACGUUCCCGGGCCUUGUACACACCGCCCGUCAAGCCAUGGGAGUUGGUAAUGCCCGAAGCCGGUGGCAUAACCCUUCGGGGAGUGAGCCGUCGAAGGCAGGACCGAUGACUGGGGUU
rnacentral:rRNA from 1 species